rnacentral:rRNA from 1 species
CAGAGGGUGCAAACGUUGUUCGGAAUCACUGGGCAUAAAGCGCACGUAGGCGGCCCACUAAGUCAGUUGUGAAAGCCCCCGGCUCAACCGGGGAAUGGCAUCUGAUACUGGUGGGCUCGAGGAAGGUAGGGGUGGGCGGAACUCCAGGUGGAGCGGUGAAAUGCGUAGAUAUCUGGAGGAACACCGGUGGCGAAAGCGGCCCACUGGACCUUCUCUGACGCUGAGGUGCGAAAGCUAGGGUAGCAAACGGGAUUAGAUACCCCGGUAGUCCUAGCCGUAAACGAUGGGCACUAGGUAGGGGAGAUACCUAUGUUCUUCUCUGCCGGAGCUAAUGUGUUAAGUGCCCCGCCUGGGGAGUACGCUCGCAAGGGUA